GAUGAUUCACUCGACUUGUGGUUUUUCUUAACCCCGCCUCCCCUCCGCCGACACGAGGCCGAGGGACCACCUCUGUCAUCUACCUUCCCCCUGCCGAUCCUCCCCUCUCUCGUUUCCACGACACCUGUUGUGCCAACGAACGCGCUCGGCUGCAAAAAAUUGUUUUCGCCAACGCGCGAUGUGUCGCGUGUACGUGACUUUGCCAACCUGGCCCGACAUCGACAAACACAAUUUAUGUAUCUCUCAUACGACUUUCGCGUAUUAUAUCCUUUGCGUAACCUAUCCGUGGACUUGCACCGGUUCACGAUGGAUCACGGAAGGCCGCGCGACAAUCGAAACCGUUACGCUCGAUCGAACUUGGCCGCGUAUCACGAAAAAUGACGACGAGGGACCGAUAGGGGAUCGAUUUUCACUCGGGGACUCUCGAUUCGUUGAAAAUCCAAAGUUUGGCCGGCCGAGACAGAACGAUGGGACGUUUAACGAUUAUUGCGGAGACGAAGACGACGGAAAGACGAUCGCAACGACGAGAUGACCAACGAGGAAGCGAUGCGACGACGGCACAGUCUUUCACCACCUGCUUCCUACGACCGUUACCUUGAUACCGUCGCGAUGGACUGGGUCAAAGAGGAUCUCGUCUCUGUUGUCGACACCGGUUAAUACCGAUCCUCGCCGAUCAAUGCCGAUUCAUCGUCUAUCGUUUGUACCUGCUCUAGAGGACGUCUAUCAAAAUCAUCCAGUUUUUCGUUUCGCCUAAUUCGCC